rnacentral:misc_RNA from 1 species
UGUUUUCUGGAAAAUGCAAGGGGGUCAAAAUUUAUUCAAUACUCUUUAUCAAUCCCCGGGGUGGAUCUAGAAAAUUUACCCACAACCCCUGAAAAUUCUUCCCUCCAACCUCUAGCUAUUUCUGAAUCUCAGAGCAGUGACCGAAGCCUGGACCAACAAACUAUAGUUAUAAUUGUGUCUGCAGUUUGUGGAUUUAUUUUUAUGUGUAUUAUCCUGGGAUUUAUUAUUUAUAUCUGUGUCCGAGUUAAGCGCAAAAAGAGGUUACUGAAAGAAGAGCGGAGUCUGACUUUUAAAGAACAUCUUAAAACAACAAUCCUCAAUGAAUCUAACAUUAGAGAAUCUAAAAGUGAUUUGAAACUUGAGACAACAAAUGUGGAAGAAAAGUCAAUAGAAAAAGAACCUUUGAAUGAUGUGGAGGCAGAAGAAAGAAACGACAUCAAUACAUAUGUCUCAUUCAAGCCUGAAUAUCCAGAAACAGAGGACCAAUUCUAUUCUGGUACAAAUACAAACAGAACCAAAGAAAGUGAUAGUUCCAACUGUGAAUCUACCUCUCCAUUAUUAGACAACUUUUCCCCCAUUAAAAGCGAUUCUUAUGAUCCACUGUUUGAAUCUACACCACAUUCAUUUUAUAACAUGCCAAAAGCUAGCACUUUGAAUUCUAGGUAUCUGAAUUCAGAGAGUUCGUAUGACACUUACUUGUCGUACACCCCCUACAGUACCCUGUCACAUACAGGCCCAUAUUCCCUGCCACCUCAUGGACACAUAGUGGGCGCUCUGCCUAGCAAGAGAACUAGUGUGUCAGCAGGUUACUUAAACUCUAUACCUCCUAAAAAGCCACCACGCUUAUUCCACUCAAGGGAUAAUAUGUCUCUUACAUCGCAAAACUCUCAAACAAGUGACUUAGGUGAACAACAAUUUAAAUUGUCUUUGCCUAAACCUGGAACAGUGGACAGCUAUGGGACAGCUGUGUGAAGUUGUCUGCUCUUUACCUGCCAAAAUGUAGUUCAUGAUUUAUACCAAAGUACUCUUUUGUCACAUGUUCUUGAGAAAUAUUCUAUUAGUGCAAUGGAAAACUGUUACAAAAGUAUUGAUAUUGUAGAUGAGCUGAUUUAAUAAUCUUCAUUUAUAUUCACAGAAGUAUGAAUGCAUGAUCCAUUUUUAUAAAAAAUGUGUGUGUACAUUCCAUUUGAAUUUAUCAGUUGUUGAAAUUUUAUAAAG